UACAGAGGUCCCAAGCGUUGUUCGGAUUCACUGGGCGUAAAGGGUGCGUAGGCGGUCGGGUAAGUCUGAUGUGAAAUCUCACAGCUUAACUGUGAAACUGCAUUGGAUACUAUCCGGCUCGAGGAAUGGAGGGGAGACUGGAAUACUUGGUGUAGCAGUGAAAUGCGUAGAUAUCAAGUGGAACACCAGUGGCGAAGGCGAGUCUCUGGACGUUUCCUGACGCUGAGGCACGAAAGCCAGGGGAGCGAACGGG
rnacentral:rRNA from 1 species